rnacentral:rRNA from 1 species
UACGUAGGGUGCGAGCGUUAAUCGGAAUUACUGGGCGUAAAGCGUGCGCAGGCGGUUCGUUAAGUCAGAUGUGAAAGCCCCGGGCUCAACCUGGGAACUGCAUUUGAAACUGGCGGGCUUGAGUGUGGCAGAGGGGGGUGGAAUUCCGCGUGUAGCAGUGAAAUGCGUAGAGAUGCGGAGGAACACCGAUGGCGAAGGCAGCCCCCUGGGCCAACACUGACGCUCAGGCACGAAAGCGUGGGGAACAAACAGG